rnacentral:lncRNA from 1 species
AUUGUGUGUUUGGAAAUUCUACAACAGCCCCUCUCUACUUUCCCUCGGUGUUCUGCGGGUUGUGAGUACCGAGCUUCGCAGCUAUGGCGGCCUUCGCCUCCACCGCAGCUACUACUUUGGCCAUCGCUGCCCCUUCCUCGGUGGCUGCCUCUCAGCUCCGUGUCAAUGGCUCCCUUAAGGUGUCUGCUUUUCAGGUACAAUCCCCUAUUCCCUCGCAUGUACAAACUUACUCUGUCCUUCUUUUUUCUCACGGCAGGGCACCGAAAUUAUGGCUUACACUUUGAAGCGGGUCGCCGUUUAGGGUCGCCGCUGAGAUUCGUCGCAAGCAAGCGAUGGAGUUAGUUCUAUUAAGACUUGGAGACUGAACCAGCUGAAUAGAUCAUAAUGUUCCCUAGAUUGUGAGCAAAUUUGCAUUUGUAGUCCGAAUAGCGCUCUCCAUCAGCACCAAUCGAACGAUAUUCUACGGAUUUUGAAACCAACGGGAUUUGUGUGUCAUUCACAUUUCGUUUGGUUACAGUUCGUUCCGAUGCCUCGGAUAUUUCUGUAAAAUUUGUUGAAGAAGGUGCCGUCAGCUUUUAUGCACCACCAUCGGAAUUGCAGCUGAUGAACCAUGAAAUGUCCGUCCAUGCAGGGUCAAAAGUUCGCUGCCGCCUGCAAUGGUUCCCGCCUGGUCAUGGCCCAAGCAGGAGCUGCCCCAGACGGCGUCGCCGAUCAGAAGCCCGACGCGAAGGAGGCUCCCAAGGGGUUCACUCCACCAACUCUGAACGCCGACACCCCGGCGCCCAUCUUCGGUGGAAGCACUGGUGGUCUGUUGCGCAAGGCCCAAGUUGAAGAGUUCUACGUCAUUACCUGGGAAUCACCCAAGGAGCAAAUCUUCGAGAUGCCCACCGGUGGCGCAGCCAUCAUGAGGUCGGGACCCAACCUACUGAAGCUGGCCAGGAAGGAGCAGUGUCUCGCACUCGGGGCUAGGCUGCGCACCAAGUUCAAAAUCCAGUACCAAUUCUACCGUGUGUUCCCUAACG